rnacentral:lncRNA from 1 species
ACAUUUCCCAAUUUCAGGGAAUUUUGUUGAAAUAAGUGCAAAUUCUGAAUGCCAGCCAAGUAAUAUUUGCUUUUGGAUUAAGACUGUUAAGUGCAUUUAAGUUCCUCUUCUGCGUUUAUGCCUUUCGUCUUUGUUUCUACAUAAAAGUCGGAGAAAAUUACUGGCUCAUUGUCUGCACAGCUCAUGGAUGACAUCUGCUGCUUUGCCCUCAGCACCUCACGGAAAUUUCAAGCUUACUCUCAGAUCCAAGAAAUAGAAGGAGGAGGGGAAAAAGAGGAAGGGAGAAACAGAGAGAACAAGAAGUGGAAGAGGAGAGUACUAAAAUGUUAAGAAGCAGAGAAUAUAUUUGAAAGGCAGUUGGAGAUCGUUUUACUCGUAUAUAUAUGCAACCAUAAAGUAAGUACAUAACGAUAUGUCAAAACUUCAUUUGUACCUAGUUUUACUUCCAAUAUUAAGACAAUGAGAGAUACUUAAUGGUUUCUAUUUCCAAAAUCAACAAUAUACCAUUUCAGAUGAAUAUGGGAGAAUUAGAAUUCAACUUUGUUGUGUGCCAAUGUGCAAUGUAAAGCACAUACUGAGAAGUUUCUAAGAUUGAAGAAAUGUAUGCAAUUUCAUGUAUACGACAUUUUUAUCAAGAACCUUUUAUAUAUAAGCCUUUUAAUAAAAUCCCACUUUGGAAGUAUCUAAUAUCGUUU